CAAGCCUGUCAACAGCUGAGAAGUUUGGAGCCGGCUUUACUCAGUUCCUCGGCAGCUGGGUUAUCAGUGGAUAUAGCUCUGCUCACCCUGUAAAAGAUUGCAGAGAAACCGGCAGAUCCUUUUAAGGACACAGAGAUGAAAUAAUAGAGUGUCUUAGAUUUACCUGAAGACAACCCAGUGUCAGGAAAGAGACGUGGACAAGAGAAUAAUGAAACAAGAUUGGCCAAAAGCUGACAGCUAGUGAAGCUGAAUAAGAUGUGGAAUUUCAUUUACACACCCCACCACUGUUCUGGACCCUCCACCAUCACAGUACGUAAGAUGACAGGGAGGCGACUCCACAGGAGUGGGAAUGAAGUUGAGAAAAAAGAGAAGUCCUGGCCUGUCUUUUCCCUUCCUUUCUCCAUACAGGGUGAUGAUGAGGUGAAGGGGACACUGCGCAGAGGCCCAUCAGCUGCCAGUGCCCAUGCAGACAGAUGCAAAGCAGGGAGAUAAAGUCAUGAAGAGGUUCAUCAGUGCUGGGAACACUUGCACCAAAAGAUGCAGGAUGGGGAGUGUUGGGGGCUGCAUGGAGAUGAUGGGUGAAGGAGACUAUAAGAUUGGGAGAUUGAUCCAAUGGGAAAAUAAAUUAACUAAUUGAAACCAUCAAUAAUUAUACUGAAAAUAGGGGCGCCUGGGUGGCUCAGUGGGUUAAGCCGCUCGGGUCAUGAUCUCAGGGUCCUGGGAUCGAGUCCCGCGUCGGGCUCUCUGCUCA